AGAUGUGUUGCCAAUGGACGAACACACCAAUACCCAUCCAUGGACCUAUCUAUAUACAAACACCUAUCUAUAUGCAAACAAUCACAUGAACAUGGGUUGAAAAUCGUCUUGACGAUGAUACUGUCAUUGCUCAGUGAGUGAAUAAGUUAUUAAAGUGAAAAUUAGCUCCUUCAUUUAUUUAACUUUAUGAAAAAUGGUUGAAAAGUUUGUAAUCAAUGUGAAUUAAAUUUAUAGAAAUUGAGUGGUUUAUGCCGAUUACUUAAACUCGAAAUGAUACUGUGAGAGAGUUUACAGGUGUUUUUCUCAUGGAUUUUCACGCAUUCCAUCGAGAAAAAUAUGAUUGGAGCGAGUAUACUUGGAGUCAGCGGCCUUACGCAUCGUAAAGAUGAUCCAAAUAAUCUCCACGAAGAAGUUGUUAAUGAUUUAUCGUCUCAAAGCACCUAAAAAGUAGAUGACUAAAACGAUAAAUAAGAAAUAAAGGAGAAAAAAAAUAGAAGAUGUCGCACGUGACAAGAAAGUGGGAAUUAUUUCCCGGAAGAAAUAGAUUCUGCUGUGACGGAAGAAUUAUGAUGGCACCACAAACUGGUGUAUUUUACAUAACUGUAUGCCUGAUUGCUGGAACGAGUGCAUUAUUUUUCGCAUUUGAUUGUCCAUAUCUCUCGCAAUACAUAACACCAGCUAUUCCAGUAAUUGGUGGUUUGCUUUUUAUAUUUGUAAUGUCAGCAUUGCUCAGAACGAGUUUCAGUGAUCCCGGAGUAAUUCCUAGGGCUACGCCUGAUGAGGCUGCCUACAUAGAAAAACAAAUAGAAGUUCCAAAUAACGGCAAUUCACCUACUUAUAGACCGCCACCAAGAACAAAAGAGAUCCUCGUCAAAGGACAAUUAGUGAAAUUAAAGUAUUGUUUUACAUGUAAAAUAUUUAGGCCACCACGAGCAUCACACUGCAGCCUGUGCGACAAUUGUGUUGAGGGAUUUGAUCAUCAUUGCCCGUGGGUAGGCAAUUGUGUGGGUCGGAGGAACUACAGGUAUUUUUAUGCAUUUAUCGUUUCUCUGGCAUUUCUCUGCGUCUUCAUCUUCGCCUGCGCAAUAACACACCUUAUUAUGCUUACCAGGGAUGAGACCCCAUUCUUGGAAGCUGUCAAGUUAUCUCCAGCAAGUGUCAUUGUUGGCGUAAUUUGUUUUUUCUCAGUGUGGAGUAUUCUCGGAUUAGCUGGCUUCCAUACGUAUCUCACAACUAGCAAUCAAACGACCAAUGAGGAUAUAAAGGGCUCGUUUUCAAGCAAGCGAGAACAAGAGAGUUUUAAUCCUUACAGUCAAGGAAAUAUUUGUGAAAACUGCUUUUAUGUUCUCUGCGGGCCAGCUCCACCCAGUCUCAUCGAUCGAAGAGGUAUAGUGACACCUGGUUACAGAGCAGAACAUGAAAGAGUCGGUGAAGAUUACGUUAUAGCAAAUAAUAAAGCCUAUGGAACUGUAAAAAUAACUCAACCGCAGGUAAACGGCAAUAGUAUUCCACCAAUUGAUACCGAAUUGAGUGGUUCAAUGAAUAAUUUGGUGUCUGGACGUCGUUCUCCGCGAAUAGAAUCAUUGAACGGUGAGUUGAUACUCGUAAGUCAGGCGCAACGUUUGUCCGGGGAUAAACCCAGUUACCAUGUACCCAAGUAUACUCGAACAAGAACAAUGCAAAAUCGUGUACCCUCAGUUCUUUAUUAUGAUUCCCAAAGCCCAUUCAAUGCCGAAUCCACCCAACGACACAAUUAUAAUUACGAGUAUGAGGAAAAUUAUAAAAAAUAUCCAGAGGCAUGUCGUGAUGACAUUCAAUGCUCCUCCGGUAAUAAUUUUAUUUAUGAUCAGUACGCUAUUGAUGGUAAAUAUCAUGUCGAUUUGAGAAAAUAUCCACGUGGAUACUCGGAGGAUCUGCUCAGGCACAAAGAAGAAGAGUAUCAUAAUCAUCCAGAUCUUCAAAAAUUUCGCCACCGGUAUUUUGAUGACUCCAACAGUGUGUCCUACUCAUCUCAAUCAAUUAAAUACAAUAAUCUCAGAUGCAAUCAGCAUGGAUUUAAAUAUCCCAUUUCAAAAAACAUACUACCAAGUCGAAUUCUCGGUUCAGGGGGUAUUCCCAUUAUUGGCCAAACAGCUAUUGGCCUCGUUGUCAAUAAAUUUGGUUCAGUACCGCUGAACCAUGACAUGCCCUUCGUUGAUAAAACCUUGUGUUCAGGAGAGAGUAUUGAGGAUGAUAUUAACCGAAGUUUUAUCGUCGGUUCGAUCAGUGAUAACGAUUGACAAUGAUUUUUCGACUUUAAUAUUAAAUUAAUAUUUAUUCUAUAAUACCAAUCAGUGGUAGACAAUUCCAACAGGAAAAUCCCUCGACUUCGAGCAAAGUCAUUGAAUUAACAAUUUUUUAUGAAAUACUUCAACACGAAAAUUUGGUAAUUAUUUUGUAGAUUCACACUAGGAUUUUUUUUGUCUACGAUGGAUGAUCACCCAAAUAAGCAUCGUGAAGUCGUAUGAAAUUCGAUUGAAUAAUUGAUUUUCACUCACGACGCAAUGAAAAUUAAUUACUGAAUCAAAUCUUAUACGUUAUUAUUGAUCGUAAACACGGGCCUCGCGAUCAAUUCGCCCAGAAACCCUAUCUGGUGUGAAUUUUCUACAUAAUUACCAAGAAUGUAAUUAAACUUUACGGAAUUUCAUUAAAACGGUAUUUCUUUGUUUAUAAUUACGAUCAAUUGUCGAGGGCUCAAGCGCGCGCUAUUCGGCAGUACGACAAAUAGUGUGAGCCACCUCGUAACCAACGAAAUUCCACUGGCGUCGUUCAAAAUAGCUCCGAUUGACAUUGAUG